rnacentral:rRNA from 1 species
UACGGAGGGUGCAAGCGUUAAUCGGAAUUACUGGGCGUAAAGCGCACGCAGGCGGUUUGUUAAGUCAGAUGUGAAAUCCCCGAGCUUAACUUGGGAACUGCAUUUGAAACUGGCAAGCUAGAGUCUUGUAGAGGGGGGUAGAAUUCCAGGUGUAGCGGUGAAAUGCGUAGAGAUCUGGAGGAAUACCGGUGGCGAAGGCGGCCCCCUGGACAAAGACUGACGCUCAGUGCGAAAGCGUGGGGAGCAAACGGG